ensembl:lncRNA novel transcript, antisense ARHGDIA
CCUUCAGGGGCAUUUAUUUCCCGGUCAGAAAAGAAGCAGGGACAGGCGCCUCUGCCUGAGCCUGGCAGACACAACACGAAGACCGGGGAUGGGGCGGGGGAGGCACAGGAGACGGCUCUCAGCAAUGUGUGCACUUGGUCCCUUGUUUGUUCCUGGCUGGGUCAGGGAAGGCCUGCCGGGGGUGGUGGCACUGAGAGCCUGGGGGAACAGGCGCCAGGCCAGCUGGCCAGGCACUGGUGGGCUGGGGAGCAGCAGCAGCACACCCCACGUGUCCCUGGGUCACUGGGUUCGCCACCGGGGAAGGGACGGGGAGGCCACAUGCUCAUGCAGACACAGGGAGUUAGAGGCUAGUGAGGCCCCACGGUACACUCCACAUGUUAAGGCAUCAUGGUUAGACGGGACCGACAGCGACAAGGGGGCUGGCCAGGGAGCAGCGGGGCUGGAGGACGGCCCGGCCCCCACGAGGCCGUGCAUCCCACACCCCAGCUCCACCCCGGAGCAGCAGACGCACACGUCCAGGGGCAACCACGGGGCCUGGAGAAUGGCUGCUCCGCUCCCUCCUGAA